rnacentral:rRNA from 1 species
AUUGAACGCUGGCGGAAUGCUUUACACAUGCAAGUCGAACGGCAGCACGGACUUCGGUCUGGUGGCGAGUGGCGAACGGGUGAGUAAUACAUCGGAACGUGCCCAAUCGUGGGGGAUAACGUAGCGAAAGCUACGCUAAUACCGCAUACGAUCUAAGGAUGAAAGCGGGGGAUCGCAAGACCUCGCGCGGUUGGAGCGGCCGAUGGCAGAUCAGGUAGUUGGUAGGGUAAAGGCCUACCAAGCCUACGAUCUGUAGCUGGGCUGAGAGGAUGAUCAGCCACACUGGGACUAAGAAACUGCCCAGACUCCUACGGGCGGCAGCAGUGGGGAAUUUUGGACAAUGGACGCAAGUCUUAUCCAGCCAUUCCGCGUGCAGGAUGAAGGCCCUCGGGUUGUAAACUGCUUUUGUACAUAACGAAAAUGCUCUGGUUAAUACCUAGGGCUCAUGACGGUACUGUAUGAAUAAGCACCGGCUAACUACGUGCCAGCCGCCGCGCUAC